UUUCUUUUCUUUUAUUCAAAAUAAAACUCCUAGAAUACAGAUUAGGGAAUAUUGGGGUGUCGUUCCAAGUUUUAUACAGAAAUAUUGGGAUGCUCAAAAGUAACUUUCACAAAAUUUAGAAAAAUAUAAUACUUUGAUACGGGUGUAUCCUAGCCUUUUAAGGAUUAGCCGAUUCCUUCUCCACGUUAGUUAAGGAAAUAGCUUUUCUAGCUUGUUAGGGGAAUAGUUUUCCAACUUUGUUUGGGAUUAGUUGUCUAACUUAGUUAGGGAAUACUCUCCAAGUUAGAUAAGGAUUUAUAGAGAUUUAGACUCUAUAAAUAGAGGUGUCUAGCUUAGUUUUAGGGGGGAGGGAAACAGAGACAACAUCUGUUUAGACUAGAGGGAAACAGAGAGAUAGACUUGUUUAGAGUUAUUGUGAGGGAAGGAUUCAGACAAUAAACAUUGUACCUUUACACAACAAUAAGAGGAGAUAUAUUUCUUCGAACCUACAUUCCUUGUGCGUUUCAGUACUAUUACUAAUUCCGUUAUUAGUAGUAUCCGCCUAGUAAUCUGUAUCAAGUUGGUAUCAAGUGCGCAUCGAUUCUGCGAGGGGGUUCCUGUGGUUUAUGGUCCUUACUCGAUCGCAAUACAGAAAGCUAGGCAAGGUUCUUGUUUCUUGGGAAAAAAACCAAGAGGACAAGAGAAAAGAGGAUGGGUGACGAAAGAACAGACAAAGAGAGACUUGAUGCGGUAGAGAAGCAGUUGGCGUCGAUAGGUUCUACUCUUGCGGAACUGGCCAAUUUCAUCAAACAUGAGAAGAAAGUCGAACCUUUGGAGAAGCCGAAGAACAAGACUUCUCAUUCAGAUGACGAAAGGGAAGAAGUAGAUUCGGAUGAGGAAACAGACGACACCAGCAAAACUUCGCAUCAAGGAGGCAAGGGUUCUUUUCGAAAUCUGAAGAUCGAUUUCAAAGUUGAAAUCCCUAUGUAUGACAGGAGUGUCAACGUAGAGAAACUAGACGAUUGGAUUGAGCGUCUAGAGACUUAUUUUACUCUUUAUGACUACUCGUCAAAGGAGAAGAUUAUCUUUGCAACUCUAAAACUAUCGGCUCAUGCAUUGACUUGGUGGAAGUCCUAUCAGAAAAAUAGUGAUGGAGAGGCAAUGUCGUGGAAGAAGUUCAAGGAGUUGCUUAGGAAGCAGUUCUAUCCAGUUGGUUUUCUGGAAGAAAGAUGGUGCAAGUGGUACAACUUGCGUCAAGAAUUCAAUCAAUCCGUACAAGAAUACACCACCAAAUUCUAGAAUCAAGCUAUGGUUUUGGAUAUUUCAUUGAAGGAGUAUUUUGUGUUCAUGAAAUAUGUGGCGGGUCUGAGUGAGUAUAUCCAGAAGGAGUUGAAAUUAUUCACGGUGGAAACUAUUGCAGAAGCCAGCAUGAAAGCCAUUGUCAUUGAGGGCAAAUUUAAGAAGAAUGUAACAGAAAGAGAUGGAAAGCACUCUGUGGGUAAGUCCAAUGGUUCCUCUGUCAAAAGGAAGGAGCAUGAGGGUGGUGAGUUUGAUGGGAAAGAAUGUUUGGUUUGCAGUCACUGCAAAGGAACAAGCCAUGUGGUGGAUAAAUGUUGGGUGAAGUCAAAAGGAGGAGAAAAAGAAAGUCGCUUUGACCACAUAGGAGCCAAAGGAAGUACCAGGGAUGACAGAACCAAAUGCAAAGCUCAAUCUUAUGACAGGAAAUAAGUAGCCUGUAACGGAUGAAGCAGAUCCGAGGGAGCAGCUCUUUGUUGUUAAGUUACAGGUGAAGACUAGUUUGGUUGAUGCCAUUGUGGAUCCGGGUAGUCAGAUGAAUCUUAUCUCGGAAGCCUUGGUUCAGAAGCUGGGUCUCAAGACAACCAGACAUCCGAAGCCAUAUCCGUUGGGAUGGAUCCAAAAGGAAGCAGGCGGGAUGAGUAUUACCAGCCAAUGCACAUUUAAGUUUGCACUUCAUGAGUCUUACAUCGAUGAAGUGACAUGUGAUGUGGUGUCAUUAGAUGUUUGUCAGGUUAUACUAGGUAAUCCCUACUUGUGAGAUAGAUAUGCUAUCUAUGACAGGAGAGCACAAAGGUAUACGUUCACGAAGGACGAACAACAGUUUGUUAUUCGAGCGAUUUCCCUGCCACAAGAGGCAAGCUUGGUAGCAGUGACUCGGGCUAAAAGAUUAGUCAAUGCUUGUACGAAAUUUUUCUUGUUGACACGUCCACAUGAAGGGCACUCAAGUCAAGAUAUUGAGAAGACAAAAUUGAAGAAGUCACAAGCAAAGUACAAGACUAGACCUUGUACUUUUGGUAUUAGCGACUUAGUAUGGUUAAGGCUGAGUAAAGAGCGCCUUAAAGAGGAUCCAUUGCUAAAGGAUUGCAUUUUAGAGCAGCAAGUGGCUACGACAUGUCGAGGGGAGCAAACAGUGUUCUGCAUUGGGCGUGCAGGUCAGGUUCCAAGCAAAGCUAAGUGGUUCAGCAAAGACAAGGGAACUCUCGAGUUUCCUAAUCUCUAGUUUUAACUUAAGCGGGAGUUUAAGUUCCUAAAAGGGGGAGGCAUGAUACGGGUGUAUCCUAGUCUUUUAGGGAUUAGCCGAUUCCUUCUCCAAGUUAGUUAAGGAAAUAGGUUUUCUAGCUUGUUAGGGGAAUAGUUUUUCAACUUAGUUUGGGAUUAAUUGUCUAACUUAGUUAGGGAGUACUCUCCAAGUUAGAUAAGGAUUUAUAGAGAUCUAGACUCUAUAAAUAGAGGUGUCUAACUUAGUUUUAGGGGGGAGGGAAACAGAGACAACAUCUGUUUAGACCAGAGGGAAACAAAGAGAUAGACUUGUUUAGAGUUAUUGUGAGGGAAGGAUUCAGACAAUAAACAUUGUACCUUUGCACAAUAAUAAGAGAAGAUAUAUUUCUUCGAACCUACAUUCCUUGUGUGUUUCAGUACUAUUAAUAAUUCCGCUAUUAGUAGUAUCCGCCUAGUAAUCUAUAUCAUACUUUGAUCGGUUGGAAACCACCUAAUCAUAAACUUUUAUGUAACACAUCAAAGUAUCACACAAGUACUACUCACGACUGGAGCAGCCUAUAGAACGUGCAAACCCUAGGUUUUCUACAGCGGCGCGACCUUCCUUCGAUGGGUCGUUAGGAGGCGGGGCAGAGGCAAGCUCAAGUCAGACUUCUUUUGGGGUCGGAGACAUAAGUGGUUGGGGGCGGUGACGUUUGCAGGCGUUACCGCUUGGCAGCAAGGAGAGUUUUGAUCGGUUUCAGAUCGGAAUCGGGUUUGAGGGUGGCUUCAUGAAAUCUAUUGGAUCGGUGGUGUUUGAACUCCGGCCUUCUCAAACUUGUGUUUGUUGUCUCAGUGCCUGUAGGGCGUCGGAGUCGACUUUGAGGCGGAGGUUUUGAGCUUUUGGUCAAGGCCAACUACUGGUUUGGGCGAGGUGAUGUUGCUGGUUGUUCAGUCAAAUGCCCAUCUCAGGUUCCCUUAGCAAUUGGGUCUCAGCCCUUGGGCUUUAGUACACCUGGAUUUUUUUUGUGUGCCUGGGAUACUAGGUCUGGGCUUUGGACCUUAAUUGCCUUUUAAUUCUGCUUUUUAUAUGUUUAGAAUAAUGGCCUUUAAUCUAUGUUUUCUCAUAGAUUUUAGGUUUUGUUGUUUCCUUUUUCCUUAGUGUUGGUUGUCCUUAGUGUUUUUGACUAUAGGAGUGAUGUUGAAUAAUCUCAUUAAAACGGUCAACCAUGAAUAAACAUGAAUAAUCUAAAGACCAUACAAGCAAAAACCGUACAAGUACAAACUAAUACCAGCAAGCUAUAAAUUGAAAAAAAAAAAAAAACCCCUUAAAGCUACAUUCUAAAAAGUGUACAUUAAUCAACUAAAAAGUGAAUAUUAAAUGAUCUCUCAACCUAUACAACCAUGAGACAAAGCGACCAUCCUACAGAGUAGGACACGUAAGACCCUACAAUCCAUGACUUAUUAAUCGUAUUAACUAAAAAGAAAUGUUGUUGUUUGAUUUAAUGGAUCUUCCUUGUAAUUUACUUUUUACAUCAAAAAGAAAAAAAAUAUAUAUAUUGGUUGGCUGGUUGAGCAAAAUUUAUGGGUGUCAAAAUUGGCAUGACCAUGAAUAAAACUUAGAAAAGUCAACUUGCUGAAAAUCACUACCUAAAAUAUGAAAAUUAUGUAAAACAAGCAGCAGCUAGCAGUAAAAACGAUAUAAUUAAGAUAGAUUA
rnacentral:lncRNA from 1 species